ensembl:antisense Gm11730 predicted gene 11730
AACUAAAAACUCCAGGCCUACCCACUGCCAGGGGGUUUUCAAAGAAGAGACCCAUGCCUGGGUUUCCCAUGUGCAAGAUCUGCAGCUGUUCUUAGCAGCCAACAUCCGUCUCGGGGAUCUUGAGGGACACUGAGAGGUGCUGGGAUGACAGGCCUGUGGCAGCAUGUCUUGUUUCCAUGGUGAUGGAGACUGAACCCAGGGCUUUGUGCAUGCCAGGCAAGCACUCUGCCAUCUCUUCUUUCAGAGCUUUGGUUUACUGUCUUGGACUUUACAGAUGGGACCAACAAUACAUCCCAUAAUGCAUGCAUGAACCCAGGACCACCUGCCCCAGGCUGUCACUGCCCAGAGUGGACUGGGCCCUCCUAUGUCAAUCAUUAAUCAAGAGAAGGAGCUUGGAGCUAUUUGGAGAAUUAAAUAUCCAAGUUGC